GAACCACCGCCUCCUCCCCCAGCCCAGCAUAGCCGUAGGGUUUAUUGGCGUCUCCCUUUCCGUCCGCCCCUCCUGCCGCGCCCGCCACCACGCCGCACCACACGCACACGCCUCGCCGCAAAUGGCCGCCGCCGCCGCGAGAUCCCUCCUACGAUCCAGCGCCCCCUCGUCCCUCCGCAGCGCGGCGGCCAAAGCCACCUCGCGUGCCGGUGCGGCUCCACUGCCGAGGCGGCUGCCCACCUCUGCUCCCCGCGUCCUCCUAAGGUCGCCGGUGGAGAUGAGCAGCGUGUGCCUGGAGUCGCUGAUGCCCAUGCACAGUGCCACGGCUUCGGCGCUCAUGACGUCGCUCCUCGCCGCCCCGGUUUGCAACAAGGGGUUCGGUUGGCUCUCCGAAGGUCAAGAUGAAACUAGAUGAACUUCGGGCCCCAAAAGCUGGCAAUGAUGACGUGUGACAGUAUCUAGGUGGAACGUAGCAGAUUAUAAUCCCGUCACCUCAAAUCUACAGAUGGAUGAUCUGUCGCCUGCUGUGAUGGUAAGCUGGUUUGGGUUAUGGAACACCUCGUGAGCUUAAAGUACUUGGUCGGCGUCUCAGUUGACAUGUUUUGUGCUCUGGGAUUCCAGUUUGUAUAAGCGUUUACAGGGUUAUACAUGACAUUCACUGGUGGUUAUCCAAGCAAUUUCAAUCUUCAUUAAUUCAAGUCAAAAGUUAUGCUGAUAUAUUGUUUGCCUUUUUACUCUUGGUGUGGUAUCAUAAUCUCUUCAAACUAUGUUCUGAAGUAUGGAUUGCAAAUUAUUUGAGCCACAAGGUUUCUUUCUCUCUUUUUUAAGCCAGCCACACGGUUUCUGUA